CCACUCACUACCCCUAAGACUGCUGCUCAGUAUGAAAACAUUUGCGAGGCCUUAAUUAAUCAUGCGGAUGAAGGAAAGAUGUCUUUCUAUACAGUAUAAAUGCUUCCUUUGAGAAGGAUGAGGGGCAAACUUGAGCCAGACCAGUGUCCCUGGAGAGAAGUUUCCCAGUAGUGAACCCAAUUUGAUGGCCAGGUGAGGAGAAGUCUCACUUGACACUUGGUGAGGAAACUGAGGCCUACAGAGAAUGACUUGCCCAUGAUCGCUGGCAGUCAGAGGCAGAUCUGAGAUCCGAACACAGGACUUCUGACUCCAGAUCUCCCUCUUUCCACUGCACAGAUGUACCUGAAGAAAUUGCAAUAUAGAAGUCUCCUCAACUUUGAGAAUGGACAGACAAUCCUUCUGCCCUGGAGCAUUAUCAGGAGCCACCAACAUGAGACUAGGUGUCUGAAGCAACACCUGAACCCAGGUCUUCUUCACCCCAAGGCUGGUCUUUUAUCCAUGUGUCUGUGUGUCCCUCCUGUGGAGAACAAUAAUGAGAACAAUAUAUGACAUUCAGCAGCUACAAUCCAUAUGAAUUAGUUCAUAAACCUCACUUUCUUUAGAACUAAAAAUCACAAGCCAGAUGAACAAUUGAGUGUGUAUGCUGUUCAGAAAGUGUUCAUCUCUAAGCUUCAGACAAAUGAUUAAGCCAAAGGCAGGUUAGCCAGACCUGCCUGUGUUUACUUUCCAAAAUAGAUAAAGGCCUCUUUAGGGUCACAGAAAAAUGCUUUAUCAGCAGAGAAAGUCAUACAUAUUGAGGAUGUUCGGCCUUCUUUUUUAAAAGGUAGUAUUUUAUUUUUCUAAUUACAUGUAAAGACAAUUUUUAAUGUGCAUUAAAAAAAAUUUUUUUAGUUCCAAAUUUUUCUUCCUCUCUCCCUGAACUGGUAAGCAAUUUGAUUUAGGUUCUAUAUCUUUUAGCCUCCUUCUUAAAAAAAAAAAUUAAAGUCUGGCUUUCUUUUAGGCUUUUUAUCUCCUUAGAGAGAUACUGAAAGAAACAAGCUAUAAAAAACAACAAUAAAGCAUGUUGCAAAUAUUCGAUUUCUCCUAAAAGCCAAGGAAUACUAAAGAAAGUGAAGAUAAUAAAUCUGAUGUCUCCUUUUAUGGGUUGGGAACCAAUAAAUAAGCAAAUACAUUCUCAAUUUGAGAAUAUCCGACAACUUAUUACAAUAAUGAUGACUUUCAAAUAUGUAUUAAACAAUU